rnacentral:piRNA from 1 species
UUACGACGACAAUGACGGCAACCGUGC